rnacentral:rRNA from 1 species
GGGGAAUAUUGGACAAUGGGCGAAAGCCUGAUCCAGCCAUGCCGCGUGUGUGAAGAAGGCCUUUUGGUUGUAAAGCACUUUAAGCGAGGAGGAGGCUACCGAGAUUAAUACUCUUGGAUAGUGGACGUUACUCGCAGAAUAAGCACCGGCUAACUCUGUGCCAGCAGCCGCGGUAAUACAGAGGGUGCGAGCGUUAAUCGGAUUUACUGGGCGUAAAGCGUGCGUAGGCGGCUUUUUAAGUCGGAUGUGAAAUCCCUGAGCUUAACUUAGGAAUUGCAUUCGAUACUGGGAAGCUAGAGUAUGGGAGAGGAUGGUAGAAUUCCAGGUGUAGCGGUGAAAUGCGUAGAGAUCUGGAGGAAUACCGAUGGCGAAGGCAGCCAUCUGGCCUAAUACUGACGCUGAGGUACGAAAGCAUGGGGAGCAAACAGGAUUAGAUACCCUGGUAGUCCAUGCCGUAAACGAUGUCUACUAGCCGUUGGGGCCUUUGAGGCUUUAGUGGCGCAGCUAACGCGAUAAGUAGACCGCCUGGGGAGUACGGUCGCAAGACU